UUUAAAUUGAGAGUUUGAUCCUGGCUCAGGAUGAACGCUGGCGGCGUGCUUAACACAUGCAA
rnacentral:rRNA from 1 species